UACAGAGGUCUCAAGCGUUGUUCGGAUUCAUUGGGCGUAAAGGGUGCGUAGGCGGCGCGGUAAGUCGGGUGUGAAAUCUCGGAGCUUAACUCCGAAACUGCAUUCGAUACUGCCGUGCUUGAGGACUGGAGAGGAGACUGGAAUUUACGGUGUAGCGGUGAAAUGCGUAGAUAUCGUAAGGAAGACCAGUGGCGAAGGCGGGUCUCUGGACAGUUCCUGACGCUGAG
rnacentral:rRNA from 1 species